UUUCCGUAGGUGAACCUGCGGAAGGAUCAUUGUCGUGACCCUGACCAAAACAGACCGCGCACGCGUCAUCCAAUCCGCCGGUGACGGCAGCGUCUGUUGCUCGGCCAAGUCCUCGACCGCCUCCCCUCCUCGGAGUGGGGGCUCGGGGUAAAAGAACCCACGGCGCCGAAGGCGUCAAGGAACACUGUGCCUAACCCGGGGGCAUGGCUAGCUUGCUAGUCGUCCCCCGUGUUGCAAAGCUAUUUAAUCCACACGACUCUCGGCAACGGAUAUCUCGGCUCUC
rnacentral:misc_RNA from 1 species